rnacentral:rRNA from 1 species
CAGCCGCCGCGGUAAUACAGAGGGUGCAAGCGUUAAUCGGAAUUACUGGGCGUAAAGCGCGCGUAGGCGGCUUCUUAAGUCGGAUGUGAAAUCCCUGAGCUUAACUUAGGAAUUGCAUUCGAUACUGGGAAGCUAGAGUAUGGGAGAGGAUGGUAGAAUUCCAGGUGUAGCGGUGAAAUGCGUAGAGAUCUGGAGGAAUACCGAUGGCGAAGGCAGCCAUCUGGCCUAAUACUGACGCUGAGGUACGAAAGCAUGGGGAGCAAACAGGAUUAGAUACCCCCGUAGUCCCUGUCUCUUAUAC